UCAAGCCCAAUUGACAUAAGUGAGAUAGUAAGAGAAGGUUAGGGUUUUAGAGGUUACUAUUUUCAUUUGGGGGAAAAAAUAGGAAGAAGAGAAAAGAGGCAAAAGGGAAGAGAACAAUGGUGGAAGAGAAAAGCUAGAAGAAACCUCAUUUUCGCAGCAAGUUUCAGCAUUGAGUCACCUUAGCAAAACAGAUGUAUCUCUCAAUCCAACCGUUGGAUCGUCGCGUGGUUUUGACACAACGUUCCUGACUCAUAGAGGUGUGUCUCCAAAUUAUGUUUGAAGGAUUUAUUUUGGAGAAAAGCUUAGAGCUAUGGUGAAAGAGUUCAUAUUUGCCAAGGUACUCAAGUAUAACUGUGGAAGUUUGUAGAUUCAUCGUAUCUGGUUGGUGUGUCGCUCUGAUACGUAGCACUCGGGGGUUGUCUAUAUUGUUGUUUCUAUGUUGUUCAUGUUUUAGUUGUUGAGUUCCAAAUUGGAUAAUGAGAAGUACUAUGAUGUUUGAAGUUGUUUCCGAUUAAAUAAGAUGAUUUGUUUAUAAAUUCGAAUGUUAUGAUUCCGCUGCAUAUUAAAAUGAAGUUGGUUUGUCUAAGAGCUGUUAUAAGUUGUUUUGUGCUUCUCUGAGAUUAAAGUGCUAUGUAUCUGUUUAUGAGUUGUUUAUAGGAAGUAAAUGUGAUAUCCCAAAUGCUUGUUGAUAGUUUUUAAAAUACUCUGAUUUCUCGCAUGAUAUUUUUGGGUAGAAUUUGGGGUGUUACAUUAGUGGUAUCAGAGCAGGUCGGUCCGUCCGGCCAAGUUGUCGAGUCAGUUGAGUUGUGUGAUAGUUGAAUGCUGUCAGUGUUUUAUUCCUUAGUACGCGACAUGUGUGUGAAACACUGUUGGUACUUGUUCGUUUUGUUGCAGGGUUAGUUUAAGCGAAGUAGGGGAGAAGCUGUGCUUCUCGGAUAUGUUUCAGUUGUAAGUUAUUGGUGUAAUAUAUUGCUUAAGGAGACAGAACAAUCAAUGUAGAAGUUUGUUGGUUCCG